rnacentral:rRNA from 1 species
CCUACGGGAGGCAGCAGUGGGGAAUCUUGCGCAAUGGGCGAAAGCCUGACGCAGCCAUGCCGCGUGAAUGAUGAAGGUCUUAGGAUUGUAAAAUUCUUUCACCGGGGACGAUAAUGACGGUACCCGGAGAAGAAGCCCCGGCUAACUUCGUGCCAGCAGCCGCGGUAAUACGAAGGGGGCUAGCGUUGCUCGGAAUUACUGGGCGUAAAGGGAGCGUAGGCGGAUAGUUUAGUCAGAGGUGAAAGCCCAGGGCUCAACCUUGGAAUUGCCCUUGAUACUGGCUAUCUUGAGUACGGAAGAGGUAUGUGGAACUCCGAGUGUAGAGGUGAAAUUCGUAGAUAUUCGGAAGAACACCAGUGGCGAAGGCGACAUACUGGUCCGUUACUGACGCUGAGGCUCGAAAGCGUGGGGAGCAAACAGGAUUAGAUACCCUGGUAGUCCACGCUGUAAACGAUGAGUGCUAGUUGUCGGCAUGCAUGCAUGUCGGUGACGCAGCUACGCAUAAGUACACUCCGCCGUCGGGAGGUACGGUCGCGAGAUAACUACAAGAGAGUAGAGCGNGAGAGCGACGACGACGACGACGAGGAGAG